rnacentral:rRNA from 1 species
GAUGAACGUUGGCGGCAUGGAUUAGGCAUGCAAGUCGAGCGAGAAGGGUUUUGAAGCUUGCUUUAGAACCCGGAAAGCGGCGAAAGGGAGAGUAACGAGUAGUUAUCUACCCCAAGGCCCGGAAUAGCUGCGGGAAACUGCAGGUAAUGCCGGAUAAUAUCCCCGGAUCAAAGGUGUGAUUCCGCCUUGGGAGGAGACUGCUUUGUACUAGCUUGUUGGUAGGGUAAUGGCCUACCAAGGCUACGAUGCAUAGCGGGCGUGAGAGCGUGGCCCGUCUCACUGGGACUGAAACACUGCCCAGACACCUACGGGUGGCUGCAGUCGAGAAUCUUCGGCAAUGGGCGAAAGCCUGACCGAGCGAUGCCGCGUGCGGGAUGAAGGCCCUCGGGUUGUAAACCGCUGUCGUAGAGGAGAAAGGUCUCGUGAAGAGCGAGAUUUGAUCUAUUCUAGGAGGAAGUCGGGGCUAAGUUCGUGCCAGCCGCCGCGGUAA